GACGAACGCUGGCGGCGUGCUUAACACAUGCAAGUCGAACGAUGAAGCUGGAGCUUGCUCUAGCGGAUUAGUGGCGAACGGGUGAGUAACACGUGAGCAAUCUGCCCUUGACUCUGGGAUAACUGCGGGAAACUGUAGCUAAUACCGGAUACUUUCACCGGGGGGCAUCCUCUGGUGAUGAAAGAAUUUCGGUCAAGGAUGAGCUCGCGGCCUAUCAGCUUGUUGGGGAGGUAACGGCUCACCAAGGCGACGACGGGUAACCGGCCUGAGAGGGUGACCGGGCACACUGGGACUGAGACACGGCCCAGACUCCUACGGGAGGCAGCAGUGGGGAAUAUUGCACAAUGGGCGCAAGCCUGAUGCAGCAACGCCGCGUGAGGGAUGAAGGCCUUCGGGUUGUAAACCUCUUUUAGCAGGGAAGAAGCGAAAGUGACGGUACCUGCAGAAAAAGCACCGGCUAACUACGUGCCAGCCGCCGCCGUAA
rnacentral:rRNA from 1 species